CCUACGGGGGGCAGCAGUGGGGAAUAUUGCACAAUGGGCGCAAGCCUGAUGCAGCCAUGCCGCGUGUGUGAAGAAGGCCUUCGGGUUGUAAAGCACUUUCAGCGGGGAGGAAGGCGUUAAGGUUAAUAACCUUGUCGAUUGACGUUACCCGCAGAAGAAGCACCGGCUAACUCCGUGCCAGCAGCCGCGGUAAUACGGAGGGUGCAAGCGUUAAUCGGAAUUACUGGGCGUAAAGCGCACGCAGGCGGUCUGUCAAGUCGGAUGUGAAAUCCCCGGGCUCAACCUGGGGACUGCAUUCGAAACUGGCAGGCUAGAGUCUUGUAGAGGGGUGUAGAAUUCCAGGUGUAGCGGUGAAAUGCGUAGAGAUCUGGAGGAAUACCGGUGGCGAAGGCGGCCCCCUGGACAAAGACUGACGCUCAGGUGCGAAAGCGUGGGGAGCAAACAGGAUUAGAUACCCCAGUAGUC
rnacentral:rRNA from 1 species